UACGGAGGGUGCAAGCGUUAUCCGGAUUCACUGGGUUUAAAGGGAGCGUAGGUGGGCUGGUAAGUCAGUGGUGAAAUCUCCGAGCUUAACUUGGAAACUGCCAUUGAUACUAUUAGUCUUGAAUAUUGUGGAGGUCAGCGGAAUAUGUCAUGUAGCGGUGAAAUGCUUAGAGAUGACAUAGAACACCAAUUGCGAAGGCAGCUGGCUACGCAUAUAUUGACACUGAGGCACGAAAGCGUGGGGAUCAAACAGG
rnacentral:rRNA from 1 species